UUUCCUCCUUUGUGGCUGUUAUGGCUGCAGGGGGGACCUCGUAGCAGUCCUUGAGUCCCGAACGUGCCUCUACAAUUUGUUGGGGUCGUUUUGGUCCUUGAGUGCCUGCUUGUUCUCUCGGAUGCGGAAAGUUAUGAGAGUGUGGGGGUCUAUGAUCUUCGAACGCUCAAAAUUUUCCAUGAAAACGGAUGACGAUGGCAGAUGCAUCAAUCGCCUGACCGAUAGGCCAGUGUGCUUGUGCACUUUGCCGCGUCCCGAAUGAAUGCUACCUGGUUGAUCCUGCCAGUAGUCAUAUGC
rnacentral:misc_RNA from 1 species